rnacentral:rRNA from 1 species
AUUGAACGCUGGCGGCAGGCCUAACACAUGCAAGUCGAGCGAGCGGCGGACGGGUGAGUAAUGUCUGGGAAACUGCCUGAUGGGGGGGGAUAACUACUGGAAACGGUAGCUAAUACCGCAUACAAUUGGAUGUGCCCAGUUGGGAGUAGCUAGUAGGUGGGGUAACGGCUCACCAAGCCGACGAUCCCUAGCUGGUCUGAGAGGAUGACCAGCCACACUGGAACUGAGACACGGUCCAGACUCCUACGGGAGGCAGCAGUGGGGAAUAUUGCACAAUGGGCGCAAGCCUGAUGCAGCCAUGCCGCGUGUGGGAAGAAGGCCUUCGGGUUGUAAAGCACUUUCAGCGGGGAGGCGUUACCCGCAGAAGAAGCACCGGCUAACUCCGUGCCAGCAGCCGCGGUAAUUC